GACAACCUUCUCUGCGAUCAUUCAACAAUCAGCAGCCUCUCUGUGUUUAGCCACGACGUCGCCAGAUCGCCGCAUUCGCUCAACAGUGUUCCAUUGAUAUACAGCGUAUUUAUUAGAUUACCUGCAGCAGUCGCUUCCAUUUACGUUCUACAGUGCAAAGUGAGUGAAAUCUGUUGCUUCCAAGAUGUGUAACUGCGGAACCAUCAUUGUUUGCUGUAUCUUGUUCGCCAUCGCGAUCGCCGUUGCCAUCUACUAUGGUGUGUUCAACGUCGAUGACUCAGCACCGGAGGUUGGCGAUUUCAUCAAAAAGACUGGAGAUUCGAUUAAGCACGGCGUCCAUGAGGGUGUCAAAAAAUUCGACGACUAAUCCACGAACCAUUAUGCCGAAUCUUCUCUUAUUCCACUACAUCUAACGUAUUUUAUAUUCUACACCAGUCACCACCGAUAUGUUUCGGGUAUUUUAGUUAACAUGACAUCACAUCAGAUGGAAUCUCUCGAAACGCUGGUUGCUAUCGAAUCACACUGAAUCUAGUUAGGUUUUUAUGAGAAAUGUUUCCGAUAAUUUAUUAUCCGUCUCCCGUAAAAUAAGUUUUAUUCGAAGAAUAAAGAAUAUUUAAUACAAACUUUUUUACUAAGAACCGAUGUAUUCGAGACAACAGUAACACUUACUUUCGAUAAUGCAAUCUUCAAAACAGGUGGCUUUAGAAAAAAUAUAAUUUAUUAGUAAUCUUUUGAA